rnacentral:lncRNA from 1 species
GGCAGAAUGCGUAAGUGGCCAAGAAAAUCCAAGAGUUACACUAAAGAAAUUCUCCACAUUGAAGAAACAUGAGUGAAAUUAUUCAAUAAAAAACACAAGGAGGAUGACAUACAAUUCUGCCUCUGACAAAACCAGAAAACAUCUGAAACACUGACCACGUCAAGCACUAUCAAAGAGCUAUCAAAUGCCGUGAAAAUCAGGUAGAGCUGGUGGAAGAGAGGAUACUAUUGGUUACAGUCCUAAUGGGCCAGCAAAGCACACUUUUCCAAGCUGAAGUUGAUCCUGGAAAGAGAAUCUUUAGGGAGAGAACAUUGUUUUCUUUCUCAGAACAUCGUGUCGGGCAGUGUCUCCAACUGCUGACAUUUUGGAAACCAAAGCCAAAAGCAAUACAUCAAAUCAGCAGCUCCAGGCAGAGGACUGUUUCAAACCAAAAUGAUGUUUUAAUCUUGAAUCAAGCAAUGACUGCACAGCCUGCAAGAGGCCUGUUUUGGACAUCAGUUGUUAAUCUACCCAAAGCAUUUGAAGAAGUUGAUUCCUCUGUGUUGGCAUUUAUUGAAGUUGAUUUUCUAUGCUGCACCCCAGUUCCUCCACGCUACUUCCUAUGA